CUUUCCAACAACCGAAGGUACCGGACUAGGAGUUGGGCUCUGCGAGAGGGAAGCACGUUCGUCAUUAUUAGACUUUUCGCGCUCCAACCGCUGUUUGCUAAACCUCCCCAUACCGGGUCUGUAGAUCUCCAUUGCUGGACGAUCCUGUGGGAACAUCGAAAAUGACUUUUCCAAGGACAGUUCGGAUAUGGCGUCUCCCCCGGGUGUUAAGGCAGAGGUAAUAGCGGAAGGGAAUUGGGCACUGAGGUUCUCGUGGCUGUAUGAAGGCUGCGGAUAUGGAAGGUCAGCGUCAGAAAAUACAGUAAAAAUUUCCACGCUCCCUCGAAAUCAGUAGGCAAUGUUGUAGCCGUGCUGUUCGAUCGAGUAACUUUGAGGAACGUAGGCGACCGGAGCUAUCGGCGCGGAGUACGAAUAAGCGUACGGCGAUCGUCCUGGCGAUACCUGAAACAGGAUAAUAAUUAUUAAUUCAGAAGUCAUGACGGAGUUCAUUCCAACGUUUUAACUCACUUGAG